CAGAAGAACAGGGUGGGGGGGGGCUUUUCUAGGCAGCCUGCUCAUGGGAAAGGGCACCCGUGCACCUCGUCCUUCCCCCCCCCGUCCUGCCCACGGCCUGUCCCGUGCCUGGCCCCGCUGCAUGCGUUUCCCCCCCGCCCCGGGGUGCACGAGCCUGGCUCGGACCCUCGGAUGCUGCCCGGGGCUGAGCCUGGCGCAGGGCUAGGAACAGUAGGAGCACCCCCCCCCCGCUCCUACCCCAAAUCCUCCUAAAGCAUCCAGCCCCGGGGAUUUGGCUCUUAACAUGCUGAUGGAGCCGUGCCGGGGCUGGGGAAGGGACCUGCAGCCCCCGUGGGUCGGUGCCCUCGGCUUCCCCCCCUGGGCUUCCACCAGGGAUGCUUUGCCCCAACCCCGUCCCCAAAUCGAUGCUUCUCCCCCCUCUCUGUGCCUGCAUGGGCUAAAGCACCUCUUCGGGGCUGGGCGGGGGGGUGCGGAGAAGGGGAGCACAGCAUUCGCUGCCCUAACCCGUGUUUCACCAGAUGCUUGUGCCUCCCGGGUUGGGGGGACCCGGCCCGUGCCAUGGUCCCCCCAACCCAUGCUGGGGGCUCGGGUCUCCCGCAGUGCCCGCGAGACCCUCGCCACCGUUUGUCGUGCCGUUGCGGUCGGCGUUGUCAUCGGAGAGCUCCAUCCCCCUGCCCGGGGAGGGGGGAGCGGGGGGGGGGGGCGCGCAGAGCCGAGCCCCCUUGUUUUUGGGUAGAGCUGGCGGGCAGCGUGGUACUUCUUUUUGUAAAGUGGUUUCUUUGUACUGUUCAUGGAUACCUGCUUCUUUGGUUUCUCCACC
rnacentral:lncRNA from 1 species